UACGUAGGGGGCAAGCGUUGUCCGGAUUUAUUGGGCGUAAAGAGCGUGUAGGCGGCUAGGUAGGUCCGUUGUGAAAACUCGAGGCUCAACCUCGAGACGCCGGUGGAAACCAUCUAGCUAGAGUCCGGAAGAGGAGAGUGGAAUUCCUGGUGUAGCGGUGAAAUGCGCAGAUAUCAGGAAGAACACCCGUGGCGAAGGCGGCUCUCUGGUACGUAACUGACGCUGAGACGCGAAAGCGUGGGGAGCAAACAGG
rnacentral:rRNA from 1 species